AAUAGAUACCCCGGUAGUCCACGCCGUAAACGAUGAGUGCUAAGUGUUAGAGGGUUUCCGCCCUUUAGUGCUGCAGCUAACGCAUUAAGCACUCCGCCUGGGGAGUACGGCCGCAAGGCUGAAACUCAAAGGAAUUGACGGGGGCCCGCACAAGCGGUGGAGCAUGUGGUUUAAUUCGAAGCAACGCGAAGAACCUUACCAGGUCUUGACAUCCUCUGACCUCCCUGGAGACAGGGCCUUCCCCUUCGGGGGACAGAGUGACAGGUGGUGCAUGGUUGUCGUCAGCUCGUGUCGUGAGAUGUUGGGUUAAGUCCCGCAACGAGCGCAACCCUUGACCUUAGUUGCCAGCAUUGAGUUGGGCACGUCUAAGGUGACUGCCGGUGACAAACCGGAGGAAGGUGGGGAUGACGUCAAAUCAUCAUGCCCCUUAUGACCUGGGCUACACACGUGCUACAAUGGAUGGUACAAAGGGCUGCGAGACCGCGAGGUUAAGCCAAUCCCAGAAAACCAUUCCCAGUUCGGAUUGCAGGCUGCAACCCCG
rnacentral:rRNA from 1 species